UUUUAUUCUCUUUCUCUGAAUCUUCGAGUAUAAAAAGGUAUGCUCUCUACCUUCAAAUUCAUCAACUCAAUCCUCUAAAUCAUAAGCUUUUAAAAAAAUCCAGUGAUUUAAAGACUGGCUCCACUGUUCGCCUCCCUCUUGCCACAAUCAUUGAAUCCCUCUUUCAUUUGGGUUGUCUUCUUUCUAUUAAUAGAUACGUGUGGUGUGUAAAUAAGGUGAUUCAAAUGAGAUGAAUAAUGGAUCGCUGAGUUUGGUCCGAACUCUAUAUUUCUUUCCUCAUGUUUUUAUGCUAUUUUUUAACAGUAGCACUAGAGUAUGAGAUGGGUGAUGCUCAUAUGGCUAUUUAAGCCACGAGUGAGGAAACUUUCUUUUAUGUAGUAUAAAAUAUUAGUUUCAAGAACUCAGCUUUAAUAAACGUCUGUUGAUUAAAGCGGGCUGAACUAUGUGUCUUUCAGUUACAUUGAAGCAGAGCAGCCUCAACUUCACACUGUCUGACUCUCCUCUAUCGAUGUUUACCGCUCGAUGUCUCUGCCGCUCAAGUCAAAUGCUUAUUCACCAAGCUCAUAGAGAAAGAGGGUGAUAAACAGUCAAAUAGGGCCACUUAACAUGUUGCACAACGACAUAGUAACGUUUAAUUUAUGAUAGCAUCCAUGCAAACUGUAAUGUUUCAUUUCUUCCAUGAGCAAGAGGAAAGGGCUUAUACUUCUUCCUCAUUAUGACAUUCUCGUAUAUUUGGCAUUCUCGUAUCUUUCUCUUUGAAAGUAAUUAGCGUUACUUUCUAAACCCCCUAUAGACUGUGUCAAUUGUUUAAUUUAAAUCCGGCAAAUACCAAAAGUAUGUAUUAAAUCCACUGAUGGGUUGUUGGAAAGACAUUUUAUUCAAAAUCCAAAUAAUUUUUUUUGUCGGCUACCCAUCUAAGCUAGAUCAAGUGGUGGUCAGACGAGCCGAUCCAAAUAAUUUGGCCGAACUAUAUCCAAAUUAGCUGAAAUCUGUUUACUUGAUGGACCAUGACUGAUGGAUGUAAUCCAUCUCCAACAUUUAGUCUAACAUCUUGCACUGCCAUCAUUUUAGAAUACUGGGGUUUAAUUUUGCCUCUUUCACAGUUUUGAAUAUUUUCAGGUGAUUUGUGAAACUGCAGAUGCUUGGUAUGAUGAGCUAAUUAAGGACAUAUAAGGUGUAAAGAAAGGCCAAGAAAUGAGCUUGGAGAUUAAGAGGAGUUGUAGCUGCAGAUAUAACUUGGUAGGCCGCUAAGGAAGAAGAGAAGAAUAGGUGGUAGCAGUUUCAAGACCACUACAACUGCUACUCAUCAUAGUGGGAGCACCUGAUGAAGGUAACCACUACUACGAGCUCGCUUCAAGGUCUCAAGGGUGAAGAACAAACUCUAUGUGGAGGUUUACACAGGGGGAAAGACUGCUAAGAUAGACCACUCCAGGAAGCUUUCAAAACUGUAUCCAUCUGUUAUGGAUCCAAUCUAUUUUUUCAUGGAUAGCAUGGUUUCUCUUUUCUCUAUCUAUGAGUAUUUGUUCAGAGUUAAGUUUAUUAAAAAAAAAUUUAAAAGAUAUUUUUGUUCUGAUUAGCUCAAAAUCCAAGUAUUUGG